rnacentral:rRNA from 1 species
GAUGAACGCUGGCGGCGUGCCUAAUACAUGCAAGUCGAGCGAAGCGGGGACGGGUGAGUAACACGUCGAUAACCUCCCUUAAGACUGGGAUAACUUCGGGAAACCGGUGCUUAACCCGAUACUUUUAGAUGGAUCCGCUCUGCAUUAGCUAGUUGUUAAGGUAACGGCUUACCAAGUCAACGAUGCAUAGCCGACCUGAGAGGAUGAUCAGCCACACUGGAACUGAGACACGGUCCAGACUCCGACGGGAGGCAGCAGUAGGGAAUAUUCCGCAAUGGGCGAAAGCCUGACGGAGCAACGCCGCGUGAGUGAUGAAGGUCUUCGGAUCGUAAAACUCUGUUAUUAGGGAAGCGGUACCUAAUCAGAAAGCAACGGCUAACUCCGUGCCAGCAGCCGCGGUAAUAC